UGAAUGGGCCCCUGAAAAAAUGCUGUCUUAUGGAGACUCCUUGAAAUUAAUUAUAAAGUGCAAAUGCUUACAUAUAAAUAUUAGACGAGAAGACCCUAGAAAUUUUUUAGAUGAAAAAUACAACUUAUUUUGUUGGGGCGACAAGGUAACAAUUAACUUACCAUAACAUACUGGAAUUCUGUAUAAUGUAAGAGUAAAUUACUCUAGGGAUAACAGCAUAAUAUAUAAAAGUUUGUGACCUCGAUGUUGGACUAGGAAAUACUACAUCUAGAAGAUGUAUGUAUUGGCUCUGUUCGAGCUAAAUUUCCUACAUGAUCUGAGUUCAAACCGGAGCUCCA
rnacentral:rRNA from 1 species